rnacentral:rRNA from 1 species
AUACAGAGGGUGCGAGCGUUAAUCGGAAUUACUGGGCGUAAAGCGCGCGGAGGCGGCUUAUUAAGUCAGAUGUGAAAUCCCCGGGCUCAACCUGGGAACUGCAUCUGAUACUGGUAAGCUAGAGUUUUGGAGAGGGAAGUAGAAUUUCAGGUGUAGCGGUGAAAUGCAUAGAGAUCUGAAGGAAUACCAGUGGCGAAGGCGACUUCCUGGCCAAAAACUGACGCUGAGGUGCGAAAGCGUGGGUAGCAAACGGGAUUAGAAACCCCGGUAGUCC